AGCUCCAAUAGCGUAUAUUAAAGUUGUUGCAGUUAAAAAGCUCGUAGUUGAAUUUCUAGUUAAUUGCUAUUCGGUCUCCAGAUCAGUAGUAGUUAGCUAUCCGACACUGAACUAUGACGGUUAUUAAGUUAACCCCAUAGCGAAUUGUCAUUUUACUUUGAAAAAUUAGAGUGUUUCAGGCAGGCAAUUGCCCGAAUAUCUUAGCAUGGAAUAAUGGAAUAGGACUUUGGUUCAUUUGAUUGGUUAUUGAAUCAGAGUAAUGAUUAAUAGGGACAGUUGGGGGCAUUAGUAUUUAAUUGUCAGAGGUGAAAUUCUUGGAUUUAUUAAAGACUAACUUAUGCGAAAGCAUUUGCCAAGGAUGUUUUCAUUAAUCAAGAACGAAAGU
rnacentral:rRNA from 1 species